UAAGAAGGUCCGGCUAACUUCGUGCCAGCAGCCGCGGUAAUACGAAGGGACCUAGCGUAGUUCGGAAUUACUGGGCUUAAAGAGUUCGUAGGUGGUUAAAAAAGUUGGUGGUGAAAUCCCAGAGCUUAACUCUGGAACUGCCAUCAAAACUUUUUAGCUAGAGUUUGAUAGAGGAAAGCAGAAUUUCUAGUGUAGAGGUGAAAUUCGUAGAUAUUAGAAAGAAUACCGAUUGCGAAGGCAGCUUUCUGGAUCAAUACUGACACUGAGGAACGAAAGCAUGGGUAGCGAAGAGGAUUAGAUACCCUCGUAGUCCAUGCCGUAAACGAUGUGUGUUAGAUGUUGGAAAUUUAUUUUCAGUAUCGCAGCGAAAGCGUUAAACACACCGCCUGGGGAGUACGACCGCAAGGUUAAAACUCAAAUGAAUUGACGGGGACCCGCACAAGUAGUGGAGCAUGUGGUUUAAUUCGAAGAUACGCGCAGAACCUUACCAACACUUGACAUGUUUGUCGCGACUUUAAGAGAUUAAAGUCUUCGGUUCGGCCGGACAAAACACAGGUGCUGCAUGGCUGUCGUCAGCUCGUGUCGUGAGAUGUUGGGUUAAGUCCCGCAACGAGCGCAACCCUCACUUUUAGUUGCCACCAUUUAGUUGGGCACUCUGAAAGAACUGCCAGUGAUAAGCUGGAGGAAGGUGGGGAUGACGUCAAGUCCUCAUGGCCCUUACGUGUUGGGCUACACACGUGCUACAAUGGCAUUUACAAUAGGAAGCAAGGCGGCGACGUCGAGCAAAUCCUAAAAAAAUGCCUCAGUUCGGAUUGUACUCUGCAACUCGAGUACAUGAAGCUGGAAUUACUAGUAAUCGCGGAUCAGCGCGCCGCGGUGAAUACGUUCCCGGGUCUUGUACACACCGCCCGUCACACCAUGGGAGUUGGUUCUACCUUAAGGCAAAGCUUAAAAACU
rnacentral:rRNA from 1 species